rnacentral:rRNA from 1 species
GGGGAAGGGUAGCUUGCUACCUGACCUAGCGGCGGACGGGUGAGUAAUGCUUAGGAAUCUGCCUAUUAGUGGGGGACAACAUUCCGAAAGGAAUGCUAAUACCGCAUACGCCCUACGGGGGAAAGCAGGGGAUCUUCGGACCUUGCGCUAAUAGAUGUAGCCUAAGUCAGAUUAGCUAGUUGGUGGGGUAAAGGCCUACCAAGGCGACGAUCUGUAGCGGGUCUGAGAGGAUGAUCCGCCACACUGGGACUGAGACACGGCCCAGACUCCUACGGGAGGCAGCAGUGGGGAAUAUUGGACAAUGGGCGAAAGCCUGAUCCAGCCAUGCCGCGUGUGUGAAGAAGGCCUUUUGGUUGUAAAGCACUUUAAGCGAGGAGGAGGCUACUGAGAUUAAUACUCUUGGAUAGUGGACGUUACUCGCAGAAUAAGCACCGGCUAACUCUGUGCCAGCAGCCGCGGUAAUACAGAGGGUGCGAGCGUUAAUCGGAUUUACUGGGCGU